rnacentral:rRNA from 1 species
UACGGAGGGAGCUAGCGUUAUUCGGAAUUACUGGGCGUAAAGCGCACGUAGGCGGCUUUGUAAGUUAGAGGUGAAAGCCCAGGGCUUAACCCUGGAAUUGCCUUUAAGACUGCAUCGCUCGAAUUGUGGAGAGGUGAGUGGAAUUCCGAGUGUAGAGGUGAAAUUCGUAGAUAUUCGGAAGAACACCAGUGGCGAAGGCGACUCACUGGACACAUAUUGACGCUGAGGUGCGAAAGCGUGGGGAGCAAACAGG